GGGCCAUAGCCUGCCCAGCUGGGCUGCGUCCCGGAGCCCGGACCCUCCGUCUGGCAGGUACCAGUCCCCUCUCUGGCCCGGGUCAAACCCGCGAAGACCCUGGCGCCAUGUGGCGGGCGGCUGGGGCCGCGCUCCGAACCCCUGGGGCGCCCCGCCAGCUCCGGAGGGGCCUGUCCACACCGUCCCGUUCCUCGCAAAAGGCCGCGACCCUGGUCGUCACGCCCAAGGCUGGUCUGGCCGACGAGCUCCUGGACAUCAAAGCGGAAGGCUUGCGCCCUGGGGAGCGGGUGACGCUGAGGGCCUCGGCCGCCAGCCACCGAGGCCGCCUCUUCCACUCGCUGGCCCACUUCGAGGCUGACGCCCGCGGGGGGCUGGACCUGGCCAGGGAUCCGGCUCUGGGCGGCGACUUCGAGGGCGUGGAGCCCAUGGGGCUCCUGUGGAGCCUCACGCCGGCGGGCUCCGGGGGCCCCUGCCUCGGCCGGAUGCCCAGGGGCGUGUUGAAAAACCCGCUCAAAGUGGAGGUGACUGUCCACCGCGCGCCGCAGCAGCCGGAGGGGCCGCUGGGCCCGGCGCUGGCCUCGGCCCGGGUGCAGCGCUGGUUCUCCAGCCCCGAGCUGUCCCGCGUUCGGCUGCAAACGGGCCGCGUGCAGGGCAGCUUCCUGCUGCCCCCAGGAGAUGGUCCUUUUCCUGGUUUGAUUGAUAUGUUUGGAGACGGAGGAUUAAAUGAAUCUCGAGCGAGUCUCCUGGCUUGUCGAGGUUUUGCUGCUCUGGCUUUGCCAUUUUUUGGCUAUGAAGAUCUACCUCCAAUUAUGAAGGACUUAAAUUUAGAUUACUUUGAAGAGGCAGCUAAAUUUGUGCAAAGUCAUCCAAAGGUCAAAGGUCCUAACAUUGGAGUGAUUGGUUCUGGGAAAGGGGCAGAGUUGGCCCUUUCCAUGGCUAGCUUUCUCCCAAAUAUAGCUGCAGUUGUGAGCAUCAAUGGCUGCAUCUCUAACACAGCUACUUCCCUUACAUGUGGUGGACUGAUCCUGCCGGGACUGCCUUUUAACCUGGACAAAAUCUCUGCUACCAAUUCAAGGGCAUAUGAUAUUAAAGAAGCGCUGGAGGACCCCUUGGAUCCAGCCUAUCGGGAAAGCCGUAUCCCCCUCGAAAAAGCCAGUGCCCAUUUCCUUUUUAUCGUUGGAGAGGAUGACAGGCAUUGGAAGAGCUCUGUGUAUGCUGACAUAGCUGUGAAUCACCUCGCAGAGCAUGGGAAGACGAAUUUCACUCUUUUAAGCUACCCUAAUGCUGGCCACAGAAUAGAUCCCCCUUACAGCCCCUUUUUCUCUGCAGCCCUGGACCCGGUAUUGGGGGUUCCUGUUUUAGGAGGUGGGCAGCUCAAAGCUCAUGCUGUUGCUCAGAUUGAGUCUUGGAAGAAGAUCUUGGAGUUUUUGCACUUGCAUCUGGGGUAAAGUCUUGCAAACUAGACAGUUAAAUUUAGAAUAUGCUCAGAACAAAUUAGGGGACAGAUUGGAUAUUUUUGACAAAUGAUGACUGAGAUCUGGACUUCUCAUGGCCUCGGCAAGCUUUUAAAAGAAGUAAAAACACUCACUUCAAGUUCAUCAGAGCCUGUAGCUUCGGUACUAUCCAUGUUUCUCCAUGUUUGUUUGAGCUUGAACUCAAGGCCUGCAACAAGAGCAAGUGGACCCAAGCCAUAUUCUCUGGUGAACAGCUUUUGGAAUCUAUUUCGUCAUUUUGCAGGGUUUAAAAGAACAGAGAAAGGAUCCAAGUUAUAUAAUUCUUUUUCCUUUUCCUGUGUGAAUAUUUGUGUGUGUGUGUGUGUGUGUGUGUGUGUGUGUGUGUGUGUGUGGUG